CCUACGGGGGGCAGCAGUGAGGAAUAUUGGUCAAUGGACGAGAGUCUGAACCAGCCAAGUAGCGUGAAGGAUGCCUGCCCUAUGGGUUGUAAACUUCUUUUAUAUGGGAAUAAAAUGUUCCACGUGUGGGCUUUUGUAUGUACCAUAUGAAUAAGGAUCGGCUAACUCCGUGCCAGCAGCCGCGGUAAUACGGAGGAUCCGAGCGUUAUCCGGAUUUAUUGGGUUUAAAGGGAGCGUAGGUGGAUUGUUAAGUCAGUUGUGAAAGUUUGCGGAUCAACCGUAAAAUUGCAGUUGAAACUGGCAGUCUUGAGUACAGUAGAGGUGGGCGGAAUUCGUGGUGUAGCGGUGAAAUGCUUAGAUAUCACGAAGAACUCCGAUUGCGAAGGCAGCUCACUGGACUGCAACUGACACUGAGGCUCGAAAGUGUGGGUAUCAAACAGGAUUAGAUACCCUAGUAGUC
rnacentral:rRNA from 1 species